rnacentral:rRNA from 1 species
UACGGAGGAUGCGAGCGUUAUCCGGAUUUAUUGGGUUUAAAGGGUGCGCAGGCGGUCUGUUAAGUCAGCGGUCAAAGCCCGGGGCUCAACCCCGGCCCGCCGUUGAAACUGGCAGUCUCGAGUUGGAGAGAAGUAUGCGGAAUGCGCGGUGUAGCGGUGAAAUGCGUAGAUAUCGAGAGGAACACUCGUGGCGAAGGCGGGUUCCUGGACAUUAACUGACGCUGAGGCACGAAGGCCAGGGGAGCGAAAGGG